AAGGGGUGCAAUAUCAAUAGAUUUUGCGAUACAACAAACUUUUAACCUGCCAACCAAUUAUUCAAUACAGUUUUCAAAUUCAAACAUUUAUCCUCCUAUUAUUACGAAGAGAGCAGUUGACCCAGAUCUUGAUGAUCUGGACAGAAUCACCUUGUAUAAAUAUUUGAUGGAUAUAAUAGACAACGUAGGAUUCAAUGGUAGAAUUUGUUUACUAAAAUCAAUUUGUGAAAUUGGACAAUAUCCAAUGCAUAUCGAGGAUACAGAUAGCUUAUUAGAAAGAAUUGUUCAUUAUUUAUUUACAUGGCAUCCUUCAUAUCGUUUUUAGACCUUCAGAAGAUUUGGUGGAUGACAUAGAUGACGAUUUUCUGCAAGAUGAAGCUAAUGGCGAAUUUUUUGAUCAACUCCUACGAGCUGAAUUUUUAGGGAAAACGCAAGGAAAAUGUAACAAGGAAUUUUCCGAAUGUGAUAUAUCUGUGAUUUCGCUGUUUACAAAAUUAUUUUUCACAAGGUGACAUAG